rnacentral:rRNA from 1 species
GACGAACGCUGGCGGCGUGCCUAAUACAUGCAAGUCGAACGCAGUGGGGACGGGUGAGUAACACGUGGGUAACCUCCCAUCAGAGGGGAUAACACUUGGAAACAGGUGCUAAACCGAUACUGAUGGAUGGACCAGCGGGGCAUUAGCUAGUUGGUGGGGUAACGGCUCACCAAGGCAACGAUGCAUAGCCGACCUGAGAGGUUGAUCGUCAACACGGGGACUGAGACACGGCCCAGACUCCUACGUGAGGCAGCAGUAGGGAAUUUUCGGCAAUGGACGAAAGUCUGACCCAGCCAUGCCGCGUGAGUGAAGAAGGCUUUCGGAUCGUAAACCUCUGUUGUUAGAGAAGCGGUAUCUAACCAGAAAGCCACGGCUAACUACGUGCCAGCAGCCGCGGUAAUUC